GAUGAACGCUGGCGGCGUGCUUAACACAUGCAAGUCGAACGAAGCAUUUGCGACAGAUUUUUUCGGAAUGAAGUUGCUUAUGACUGAGUGGCGGACGGGUGAGUAACGCGUGGGUAACCUGCCUUGUACUGGGGGAUAGCAGCUGGAAACGGCUGGUAAUACCGCAUAAGCGCACAAUGUUGCGUGACAUGGUGUGAAAAACUCCGGUGGUAUAAGAUGGACCCGCGUCUGAUUAGCUAGUUGGUGAGAUAACAGCCCACCAAGGCGACGAUCAGUAGCCGACCUGAGAGGGUGACCGGCCACAUUGGGACUGAGACACGGCCCAGACUCCUACGGGAGGCAGCAGUGGGGAAUAUUGCACAAUGGAGGAAACUCUGAUGCAGCGACGCCGCGUGAGUGAAGAAGUAAUUCGUUAUGUAAAGCUCUAUCAGCAGGGAAGAUAGUGACGGUACCUGACUAAGAAGCGCCGGCUAAAUACGUG
rnacentral:rRNA from 1 species